rnacentral:rRNA from 1 species
GAUGAACGCUGGCGGCGUGCCUAAUACAUGCAAGUCGAGCGGACAGAUGGGAGCUUGCUCCCUGAUGUUAGCGGCGGACGGGUGAGUAACACGGGGUAACCUGCCUGUAAGACUGGGAUAACUCCGGGAAACCGGGGCUAAUACCGGAUGGUUGUUUGAACCGCAUGGUUCAAACAUAAAAGGUGGCUUCGGCUACCACUUACAGAUGGACCCGCGGCGCAUUAGCUAGUUGGUGAGGUAAUGGCUCACCAAGGCAACGAUGCGUAGCCGACCUGAGAGGGUGAUCGGCCACACUGGGACUGAGACACGGCCCAGACUCCUACGGGAGGCAGCAGUAGGGAAUCUUCCGCAAUGGACGAAAGUCUGACGGAGCAACGCCGCGUGAGUGAUGAAGGUUUUCGGAUCGUAAAGCUCUGUUGUUAGGGAAGAACAAGUACCGUUCGAAUAGGGCGGUACCUUGACGGUACCUAACCAGAAAGCCACGGCUAACUACGUGCCAGCCGCCGCGGUAA